CAAACGUACAACGCACAGUUGCUCUAGUAUUGUAUUCUACAUCCUUGGUGUUUAGUAAUAUUAACUACUUGUAAAAAUGAAUUUGAAUCAUAUCAUUUGUAUUCUAGCCACCAUAUUUUGUAUAAUGAUGUCGGGUGUAACAGCUCCAGGUCCAACACAUCCAGUUACAACAGAUCCUGACACGUUUCCCCCUCCUGCUAAUAUUCGCGACACUUUACCCCCUACUCUGCCAAAUCCUAAUCCCACUAAUUUUCCUGAAGAUUAAUAACGACAGUUAAUAACACGGUUAAACGCAAAUACUACCAACAAAGCUGCAGUAUCCUAAAUCAGUACCACAUUUUGAAAAUACAUAUGCUUAUUAAUUAAUACGUGUAUAUUGUAAAAUUUUCAUCUUUGUUUAUCAUAAUUAUUAUGUUUCAACCUACAGAUUUGUCUAAUAACAAUGUAUUAUAAAUAACAUAUUUGUCGAUUACAUACACCAAUAAAAAUCAUAUUCACCGAAUA